AUGUCCAACUCUUCGAGACCCCAUGGACUGCAGCAUGGCAGGCCUACCUAUCCCUCACCAUCUCCCGGAAUUUGCCCAAGUUCAUGUCCAUUGAUGGGUUUCCCCCAUAGCUCAGUUGGUAAAGAAUCCACCUGCAAUGCAGGAGACCCCAGUUCGAUUCCUGGGUUGGGAAGAUCUGCUGCAGAAGGGAUAGGCUACCCACUCCAGUACUCUUGGGCUUUACUUGUGGCUCAGCUGGUAAAGAAUCCACCUGCAAUGUGGGAGACCUGGGUUCGAUCUCUGGGUUGGGAAGAUCCCCUGGAGAAGGGAAAGGCUACCCACUCCAGUAUUCUGGCCUGGAGAAUUCCAUGGACUAGACUUAAAUUGAAGAAAGUAGGGAAAACCACUAGACCAUUCAGGUAUGACCUAAAUCAAAUCCCUUAUGAUUAUACAGUGGAAGUGAGAAAUAGAUUUAAGGGCCUAGAUCUGAUAGAUAGAGUGCCUGAUGAACUAUGGAAUAAGGUUCGUGACAUUGUACAGGAGACAGGGAUCAAGACCAUCCCCAUGGAAAAGAAAUGCAAAAAAGCAAAAUGGCUAUCUGGGGAGGCCUUACAAAUAGCUGUGAAAAGAAGAGAGGCGAAAAGCAAAGGAGAAAAGGAAAGAUAUAAGCAACUGAAUGCAGAGUUCCAAAGAAUAGCAAGAAGACAUAAGAAGGCCUUCUUCAGCGAUCAAUGCAAAGAAAUAGAGGAAAACAACAGAAUGGGAAAGACUAGAGAUCUCUUCAAGAAAAUUAGAGAUACCAAGGGAACACUUUAUGCAAAGAUGGGCUUGAUAAAAGACAGAAAUGGUAUGGACCUAACAGAAGCAGAAGAUAUUAAGAAGAGGUGGCAAGAAUACAUGGAAGAAUUGUACAAAAAAGAUCUUAACGACCCAGAUAAUCAUGAUGAUGUGAUCACUAAUCUAGAGCCAGACAUCUUGGAAUGUGAAGGAAGUCAAGUGGGCCUUAGAAAGCAUCACUAUGAACUAUUCCAUCACUAUGAUGGAAUUCCAGUUGAGCUGUUUCAAAUCCUGAAAGAGGAUGCUGUGAAAGUGCUGCACUCAAUAUGCCAGCAAGUUUGGAAAACUCAGCAGUGGCCACAGGACUGGAAAAGGUCAGUUUUCAUUCCAAUUCCAAAGAAAGGCAAUGCCAAAGAAUGCUCAAACUACCGCACAAUUGCGCUCAUCUCACACGCUAGUAAAGUAAUGCUCAAAAUUCUCCAAGCCAGGCUUCAGCGAUACGUGAACCGUGAAGUUCCAGAUGUUCAAGCUGGUUUUAGAAAAGGCAGAGGAACCAGAGAUCAAAUUGCCAACACCCGCUGGAUCAUGGAAAAAGCAAGAGAGUUCCAGAAAAACAUCUAUUUCUGCUUUAUUGACUAUGCCAAAGCCUUUGACUGUGUAGAUCACAAUAAACUGUGGAGAAUUCUGAAAGAGAUGGGAAUACCAGACCACCUGGCCUGCCUCUUGAGUAAUCUGUAUGCAGGUCAUGAAGCAACAGUUAGAACUGGACAUGGAACAACAGACUGGUUCCAAAUAGGAAAAGGAGUAUGUCAAGGCUGUAUAUUGUCAUCCUGCUUAUUUAACUUAUAUGCAGAGUACAUCAUGAGAAACGCUGGACUGGAAGAAACACAAGCUGGAAUCAAGAUUGCCAGGAGAAAUAUCAAGAACCUCAGAUAUGCAGAUGACACCACCCUUAUGGCAGAAAGUGAAGAGGAACUGAAAAGCCUCUUGAUGACAGUGAAAGAGGAGAGUGAAAAAGUUGGCUUAAAGGUCAACAUUCAGAAAACUAAGAUCAUGGCAUCCGGUCCCAUCACUCCAUGGGAAAUAGAUGGAGAAACAGUGGAAACAGUGUCAGACUUUAUGUUUUUGGGCUCCAAAAUCACUGCAGAUGGUGACCGCAGCCAUGAAAUUAAAAGACGCUUACUUCAUGGAAGAAAAGUUAUGACCAACCUAGAUAGCAUAUUCAAAAGCAGAGACAUUACUUUGCCGACUAAGGUCCAUCUAGUCAAGGCUAUGGUUUUUCCUGUGGUCAUGUAUGGAUGUGAGAGUUGGACUGUGAAGAAAGCUGAGCGCUGA
rnacentral:lncRNA from 1 species